rnacentral:rRNA from 1 species
GAUCAUGGCUCAGGAUGAACGCUAGCUACAGGCUUAACACAUGCAAGUCGAGGGGCAGCAUUGGGAUAGCUUGCUAUUCAGAUGGCGACCGGCGCGACGGGUGAGUAACGCGUAUACCCAACCUUCCUGCCAGGUAGGGAACACGCCCGGCGAAAGUCGGAUUUAAUGCCCUAUGUUCUUCAAUGCGGACAUCUAAGUUGAAGGAAAGAUUCAUCGCUGGCAGAUGGGGAUGCGUCCGAUUAGCUUGCCGGCGGGGUAACGGCCCACCGGGGCGACGAUCGGUAGGGGUUCUGAGAGGAAGGUCCCCCACACUGGUACUGAGACACGGACCAGACUCCUACGGGAGGCAGCAGUGAGGAAUAUUGGUCAAUGGGCGUAAGCCUGAACCAGCCAAGUAGCGUGCCAGGAUGACGGCCCUACGGGUUGUAAACUGCUUUUAUGCGGGGAUAAAGUGCGGCACGUGUGCCGCUUUGCAGGUACCGCAUGAAUAAGGACCGGCUAAUUCCGUGCCAGCCGCGGC